CGGCGGCGGUGGCAGUGGAGGCUGCGGAGGUGGACUACAGCUCUAACAUCUCGGUGUUUCCGAUGGAGGCGUGCGACCUCAUCGGCGGCGAGGCGUGCAACGUGCAGAUGUACCCAGAGGCCAAGCUCUCAUCAUCGGCUGCUGUUGCUGUUUCUCGUGCGGCGGCGGAGGAAGUCGACAGGGACUACCUAUCCUACGACGAGCCCACCACGGUGUUCCCCGAGGAGGCGUGCGACGAUCUGGGCGGAGAGUUCUGCAAGGCCACCUGAUCCCAUUCCCAUCCAUGGAGAAUUGGAGUCUUCUAUCAUCCUUCCUCCUCUGCUCCACUACCUUAAUUCCAUGUAG
rnacentral:misc_RNA from 1 species